rnacentral:rRNA from 1 species
UGGGGAAUAUUGGACAAUGGGCGCAAGCCUGAUCCAGCCAUGCCGCGUGAGUGAUGAAGGCCCUAGGGUUGUAAAGCUCUUUCACCGGUGAAGAUAAUGACGGUAACCGGAGAAGAAGCCCCGGCUAACUUCGUGCCAGCAGCCGCGGUAAUACGAAGGGGGCUAGCGUUGUUCGGAUUUACUGGGCGUAAAGCGCACGUAGGCGGACUAUUAAGUCAGGGGUGAAAUCCCGGGGCUCAACCCCGGAACUGCCUUUGAUACUGGUAGUCGUGAGUUCGAGAGAGGUGAGUGGAAUUCCGGGUGUAGAGGUGAAAUUCGUAGAUAUUCGGAGGAACACCAGUGGCGAAGGCGGCUCACUGGCUCGAUACUGACGCUGAGGUGCGAAAGCGUGGGGAGCAAACAGG